UGGGGAAUAUUGGACAAUGGGCGAAAGCCUGAUCCAGCCAUGCCGCGUGAGUGACGAGGGCCUUAGGGUUGUAAAACUCUUUCGUCGGGGACGAUAAUGACGGUACCCGAAGAAGAAGCUCCGGCUAACUUCGUGCCAGCAGCCGCGGUAAUACGAAGGGAGCUAGCGUUGUUCGGAAUCACUGGGCGUAAAGCGCACGUAGGCGGAUAGUUAAGUCAGGGGUGAAAUCCUGGGGCUCAACCCCAGAACUGCCUUUGAUACUGGCUGUCUCGAGGUCGAGAGAGGUUGGUGGAAUUCCUAGUGUAGAGGUGAAAUUCGUAGAUAUUAGGAAGAACACCAGUGGCGAAGGCGGCCAACUGGCUCGAUACUGACGCUGAGGUGCGAAAGCGUGGGGAGCAAACAGGAUUAGAUACCCCAGUAGUCCCUGAGCGGGCUGGCAAGGCGCAU
rnacentral:rRNA from 1 species